rnacentral:rRNA from 1 species
CCUACGGGUGGCAGCAGUAGGGAAUAUUGCACAAUGGGGGAAACCCUGAAGCAGCGACGCCGCGUGGAGGAAGGAGGGUUUAGGAUUGUUAACCCCUUUUGUUAGGGAAGAAUAUGACGGUAUCUAACGAAUAAGCACCGGCUAACUCCGUGCCAGCAGCCGCGGUAAUACGGAGGGUGCAAGCGUUACCCGGAAUCACUGGGCGUAAAGAGUGCGUAGGCGGGGUAAUAAGUCAGAUGUGAAAGCCUGUAGCUUAACUACAGAACUGCAUUUGAAACUGUUACUCUGGAGUGUGGGAGGGGUAGGUGGAAUUCUUGGUGUAGGGGUGAAAUGCGUAGAGAUCAAGAGGAAUACUCAUUGCGAAGGCGACCUGCUGGAACAUUACUGACGCUGAGGCACGAAGGCGUGGGGAGCAAACAGGAUUAGAUACCCGGGUAGUC